AACCAGACUCCUACGGGAGGCAGCAGUGGGGAAUAUUGGGCAAUGGGCGCAAGCCUGACCCAGCGACGCCGCGUGAGGGAAGACGGUCUUCGGAUUGUAAACCUCUUUCAGCAGGGAAGACAAAAGGACGGUACCUGCAGAAGAAGCCCCGGCUAACUAUGUGCCAGCAGCCGCGGUAAUACAUAGGGGGCAAGCGUUAUCCGGAAUUAUUGGGUGUAAAGGGUGCGUAGACGGAGAAACAAGUUGGUUGUGAAAUCCCUCGGCUCAACCGAGGAACUGCAACCAAAACUAUUUCCCUUGAGUGUCGGAGAGGAAAGUGGAAUUCCUAGUGUAGCGGUGAAAUGCGUAGAUAUUAGGAGGAACACCAGUGGCGAAGGCGACUUUCUGGACGAUAACUGACGUUGAGGCACGAAAGUGUGGGGAGCAAACAGGAUUAGAUACCCUCGUA
rnacentral:rRNA from 1 species